rnacentral:rRNA from 1 species
ACUCCUACGGGAGGCAGCAGUGGGGAAUAUUGCACAAUGGGGGAAACCCUGAUGCAGCCAUGCCGCGUGUGUGAAGAAGGCCUUCGGGUUGUAAAGCACUUUCAGUAGGGAGGAAAGUAGUGUAGUUAACACCUGCAUUAUUUGUACGUUACCUACAGAAGAAGCACCGGCUAACUCCGUGCCAGCAGCCGCGGUAAUACGGAGGGUGCGAGCGUUAAUCGGAAUUACUGGGCGUAAAGCGCAUGCAGGCGGCCUGUUAAGUCAGAUGUGAAAGCCCGGGGCUUAACCUCGGAAUUGCAUUUGAAACUGGCAGGCUAGAGUCUUGUAGAGGGGUUAGAAUUUCAGGUGUAGCGGUGAAAUGCGUAGAGAUCUGAAGGAAUCCAGUGCGAA